rnacentral:rRNA from 1 species
GUGCCAGCAGCCGCGGUAAGACAGAGGGUGCAAACGUUGUUCGGAAUUACUGGGCGUAAAGCGUGUGUAGGCGGUCCUAUAAGUCGGGUGUGAAAGCCCCGGGCUCAACCCGGGAAGUGCACUCGAAACUGCAGGGCUGGAGUACUGGAGAGGUUGGUGGAAUUCUCGGUGUAGAGGUGAAAUUCGUAGAUAUCGAGAGGAACACCGGCGGCGAAGGCGGCCAACUGGACAGAUACUGACGCUGAGACACGAAAGCGUGGGGAGCAAACAGGAUUAGAAACCCUUGUAGUCC